GCCUCCCGCCCCGCAGGCGUCGCCAGGCGGUCGCGCGGGUGGAUGGGACUCCUCGAGAGCAAUCCCGGGGCGCGCGCGCUCUGCUAGGGAUCUGGGGCCACUUGGGUGCCUGGUUCGGGAGGAAGCGCCUGGGCGAGAAGGGGAAAGAAGAGAGCUCGGCCCUUGGGAGGUCUACUCGGGAGGAAGCACCCCCCGCUGAGGUCUGUGGGCGAUCUGGGGAUCCUUCUUUGCAACGGGCCAAGAUCCCCAGAUGGAAGUAAACAGGCAAGACGAUGGACAGAGCUCAGAAAACGGCGUUGCAGAGGAAGUCCGGCUGCUGCAGAGCACUAUAGGGAAAGAUUUUAAAGACCUCUGCGCAGCAAGCGAGAACUUUGUCACAGAAAGAAUGGCUAAAAUAGAGGAUGCAAAUGAAACUUUUUGAGGCUGGAAAUAAAAUGUUUUGGACGAAAAA